UACGGAGGGUGCAAGCGUUAUCCGGAUUUAUUGGGUUUAAAGGGUGCGUAGGUGGCGCCGUAAGUCGGGUGUGAAAUUUCGGAGCUUAACUCCGAAACUGCAUUCGAUACUGCGGUGCUUGAGGACUGGAGAGGAGACUGGAAUUCAUGGUGUAGCAGUGAAAUGCGUAGAGAUCAUGAGGAAGACCAGUGGCGAAGGCGGGUCUCUGGACAGUUCCUGACACUGAGGCACGAAGGCCAGGGGAGCAAACGGG
rnacentral:rRNA from 1 species